UGGAGGCAGCAGUGAGGAAUGUUGCACAAUGGGGGAAACCCUGAUGCAGCAAUGCCGCGUGAGGGAUGACGGCCUUCGGGUUGUAAACCUCUGUCGGCGGGGACGAUAAUGACGGUACCCGCCGAGGAAGCUCCGGCUAACUCCGUGCCAGCAGCCGCGGUAAGACGGAGGGAGCAAGCGUUGUCCGGAUUUACUGGGCGUAAAGCGCGCGUAGGCGGCCGUUUAAGUCGGCGGUGAAAUUGCGGGGCUCAACUCCGCAACUGCCGUCGAUACUGAUCGGCUCGAGUCCGGGAGAGGGAAGCGGAAUUCCUGGUGUAGCGGUGGAAUGCGUAGAUAUCAGGAAGAACACCGGUGGCGAAGGCGGCUUCCUGGACCGGUACUGACGCUGAGGCGCGAAAGCUAGGGGAGCGAACGGGAUUAGAUACCCUAGUAGUCU
rnacentral:rRNA from 1 species